ensembl:snoRNA small nucleolar RNA SNORA31
AUGCAUCUAUCUGACAGACAUGGAGCAAUUAUUGUAUUCUAGUAAGGUUUUCACUACAGAUACAAGAGGAAAGUAUCCUGGAGCUUUCUGUCUAAGUGUGGCAGCCAAGAUUGAAUGGGGGAAUACAGUA